rnacentral:rRNA from 1 species
GGGCGCACGCGCGCUACACUGACGCAGCCAGCGAGCGCGUGCCUUGAAAGGGGUGGGUAAUCUUUAAACUGCGUCGUGCUGGGGAUAGAGCUUUGAAUUAUUGCUCUUGAACAAGGAAUUCCUAGUAAGCGCGAGUCAUCUUGCGUUAAUUACGUCCC